ACUGUUCCAGUGGCCCAAAUGGUUGGAGCGUCUGCCUCGGAUGCAGGAAGUCGCGGGUUCUAUCCCCGGUCGAGUAAUA